rnacentral:rRNA from 1 species
UACGUAGGAUGCGAGCGUUAAUCGGAAUUACUGGGCGUAAAGCGUGCGCAGGCGGUUUUGUAAGCCAGAUGUGAAAUCCCCGGGCUUAACCUGGGAAUGGCAUUUGGGACUGCAAGGCUGGAGUGCGGCAGAGGAGACUGGAAUUCCUGGUGUAGCAGUGAAAUGCGUAGAUAUCAGGAGGAAUACCGAUGGCGAAGGCAGGUCUCUGGGCUGACACUGACGCUCAUGCACGAAAGCGUGGGGAGCAAACAGG